CUAUAGUUACCCAGCCUAAACCCAAAGGUCUCUAUAGUUACCCAGCCUAAAGGUCUCUAUAGUUACCCAGCCUAAACCUAAAGGUCUCUAUAGUUACCCAGCCUAAACCCAAAGGUCUCUAUAGUUACCCAGCCUAAACCUAAAGGUCUCUAUAGUUACCCAGCCUAAAGGUCUCUAUAGUUACCCAGCCUAAACCUAAAGGUCUCUAUAGUUACCCAGCCUAAACCUAAAGGUCUCUAUAGUUACCCAGCCUAAACCCAAAGGUCUCUGUAGUUACCCAGCCUAAAGGUCUCUAUAGUUACCCAGCCUAAACCUAAAGGUCUCUGUAGCUACCCAGCCUAAAGGUCUCUAUAGUUACCCAGCCUAAACCUAAAGGUCUCUAUAGUUACCCAGCCUAAACCUAAAGGUCUCUAUAGUUACCCAGCCUAAAGGUCUCUAUAGUUACCUAGCCUAAACCCAAAGGUCUCUAUAGUCACCCAGCCUAAACCUAAAGGUCUCUAUAGUUACCCAGCCUAAACCUAAAGGUCUCUGUAGUUACCCAGCCUAAACCUAAAGGUCUCUAUAGUUACCCAGCCUAAACCUAAAGGUCUCUAUAGUUACCCAGCCUAAAGGUCUCUAUAGUUACCCAGCCUAAACCCAAAGGUCUCUAUAGUUACCCAGCCUAAACCCAAAGGUCUCUAUAGUUACCCAGCCUAAACCUAAAGGUCUCUAUAGUUACCCAGCCUAAAGGUCUCUGUAGUUACCCAGCCUAAACCUAAAGGUCUCUAUAGUUACCCAGCCUAAACCUAAAGGUCUCUAUAGUUACCCAGCCUAAACCCAAAGGUCUCUAUAGUUACCCAGCCUAAACCUAAAGGUCUCUGUAGUUACCCAGCCUAAACCUAAAGGUCUCUAUAGUUACCCAGCCUAACCCUAACCCUAACCCUAAACCUAAUGGGCUCUACAUUUACCCAGCCUAAACCUAAAGAGCUCUACAGUUACCCAGCCUAAACCUAAAGGUCUCUAUAGUUACCCAGCCUAAACCCAAAGGUCUCUAUAGUUACCCAGCCUAAACCCAAAGGUCUCUAUAGUUACCCAGCCUAAACCCAAAGGUCUCUGUAGUUACCCAGCCUAAAGGUUUCUAUAGUUACCCAGCCUAAACACAAAGGUCUCUAUAGUUACCCAGCCUAAACACAAAGGUCUCUAUAGUUACCCAGCCUAAACCCAAAGGUCUCUAUAGUUACCCAGCCUAAAGGUCUCUAUAGUUACCCAGCCUAAACCCAAAGGUCUCUAUAGUUACCCAGCCUAAACCCAAAGGUCUCUAUAGUUACCCAGCCUAAACCCAAAGGUCUCUGUAGUUACCCAGCCUAAAGGUCUCUAUAGUUACCCAGCCUAAACCCAAAGGUCUCUAUAGUUACCCAGCCUAAAGGUCUCUAUAGUUACCCAGCCUAAACCCAAAGGUCUCUAUAGUUACCCAGCCUAAACCCAAAGGUCUCUGUAGUUACCCAGCCUAAAGGUCUCUAUAGUUACCCAGCCUAAAGGUCUCUAUAGUUACCCAGCCUAACGGUCUCUAUAGUUACCCAGCCUAAACCUAAAGAGCAAGCGAAGCAGAAGCACAGACAGGUUCCUCCAGCUAACACCAUCUCUCUGUUCCCUCUAUGGUU